GUUUGGCAUGGCCAGGCGGUCAACUUUGAAGCGGGGCAUUUCUUGCAAGUAGAGAUCUGCCCAGGACGCAGCCUAUCCCAUCCAGCAAAACCACAAGCAUCAACAGCAGCAGAGGAGCAAAGACCCGGGCGGAGACAGGGGGAGCGCGAGGGCAAGACGCGGUCACGAACAGAUGCCUGAAUGUGGGUAAGAAAAUAACCUAACCACACGCCCCCCGGACGUGGGGCUGCUGGGACUGCGAACCCGGCAGCAGGCACGGCGCAGCAGCGGAGGCGGCGGCGAUGUCAGGAGGGCACAGCUGGAAACGAGCUCCCAGUCACCAACCCCGCCCCCAGGAAUGAACGAAGAAGUCAUUAAGGAAGACAUAGAGACAUGGUAUUUCAACUGGGACUUGAAGGAUGGCAGAAUUUUGAAAGAGAGAGAAUAGAAUAAGAAAGUUUUCCAGGCAGAAGGCAUGUCAUGAACAAAGACAUGGAGGAUGAAAAAUCAGAGUGCAGGAGUAUGAAGAUGUCCUGAAGGUGAAGCUGAAUGAGAAGUGCAUAUGUUCAGGA